rnacentral:rRNA from 1 species
GCAGUCGGAGGUAGCACAGAGGAGCUUGMCYUKGGGUGACGAGUGGCGGACGGGUGAGUAAUGUCUGGGGAUCUGCCCGAUGGAGGGGGAUAACUACUGGAAACGGUAGCUAAUACCGCAUAACGUCGCAAGACCAAAGUGGGGGACCUUCGGGCCUCACACCAUCGGAUGAACCCAGAUGGGAUUAGCUAGUAGGUGGGGUAACGGCUCACCUAGGCGACGAUCCCUAGCUGGUCUGAGAGGAUGACCAGCCACACUGGAACUGAGACACGGUCCAGACUCCUACGGGAGGCAGCAGUGGGGAAUAUUGCACAAUGGGCGCAAG